AAAAGUCUUGUCACCCAAUAGUGCCAAGGAGUAUAGAAAAUCACUGAGUUCCUAUGACUACAGAUCAAGACUGAACAGGAUUUGACUCUCUCAUUCUUGGGAUGAGACCCUGCUACAACCUUGGGUGCAUUUCUCUGACAUCAUUUCCAUUAUCCAUAGAUCUGACAGACCAUAGACUACAGAUUCUUACCCAUCUUUGGCUGAGUUAAUGAAGACAGUUUUCUAAUUGCCUGGAAUGUGAAGUCCCUUGAUGCUUGAAUGAAUAAGUACAAACUCAACUAAACUAUUAUGUCCAGCCAACUCCAGACUAAGCUUCUCAGUUUCUACUGCUUGCAUAGGGAACAAUAAUCAAAUCCAUACCACAAUUGCUACUGGAAAUGACAUUACAAUUGACUGUUCUAUGGCCCCCAUCACUAUCUCUGUGACCUUUACCAACAGACCAAUAGUCCCUUCCCUGGUCAUCAUUCCCCUUUAGAUGUGGUCU
rnacentral:lncRNA from 1 species